rnacentral:rRNA from 1 species
GUAGGUAGCAAGCGUUGUCCGGAAUUAUUGGGCGUAAAGCGCGCGCAGGGCGGUCCUUUAAGUCUGAUGUGAAAGCCCACGGCUCAACCGUGGAGGGUCAUUGGAAACUGGGGGACUUGAGUACAGAAGAGGAAAGCGGAAUUCCAAGUGUAGCGGUGAAAUGCGUAGAGAUUUGGAGGAACACCAGUGGCGAAGGCGGCUUUCUGGUCUGUAACUGACGCUGAGGCGCGAAAGCGUGGGGAGCAAACAGGAUUAGAUACCCUGGUAGUCCACGCCGUAAACGAUGAGUGCUAAGUGUUAGGGGGUUUCCGCCCCUUAGUGCUGCAGCUAACGCAUUAAGCACUCCGCCUGGGGAGUACGGCCGCAAGGCUG